rnacentral:lncRNA from 1 species
CCUGUGCAUCUCUCUCUCCUUCCCUCUCCCUUCUCCCUCUUUCUCCCUCCCUUUCUCCAUCUAAACCCUUCCCUCUGUCUGGCUCUUACCUCCCCACCUCACCCCUGCCUUGCUUGGCCAUCCUUCUUCUCUGCCUCCCCUGUCCGCAUGGCCUUUCUUACAGGGGAGCCUCCACCUCGCCCACCUCAGCCUGCCAUCUUCACUCACAGUAAGUGGGGCUGUUCAGGAUGCCUUGGCCCCCGCCCUCUCUCUCCUCUCUCUCCUCUCCUGGAAGGUACAGAGCCCCGGAGGCUGGCUGUGUGGAAGGGGAAGCGGGUGUGUGCUGUGAGCUUGCUCUUGCUGCUAACCCAGCCUGGCAUGCCUUCCUUCCUCAGCUCUCCCUCAAAGCCUGGCUUGACCUUGCUCUGCUGUGCCUGGGCCAGCCUCACUGGAGAGGUCAUGUCUGGGAUGUGGUGGCAGCUAUCAGGAGCUCUGUCCUCUGAGGAAAGCUGCUGUUGGCCCGUGUCUGCUGUAAUAGUGUGCCACAAUAGAGGGGAGGGGAGGGGUUACUAACCAGGAGCAGAGAGCAGGGCUCUUGUGUUAGGAAU